rnacentral:tRNA from 1 species
GUCAACGUAGCGCAGAGAUCAGCAUGUCCGCCUUUGAAGCUGAACACCCGGGUUAGAAUCCUGGCGAGAACA